GGAGUUUGAUCCUGGCUCAGGAUGAACGCUAGCGGCAGGCUUAACACAUGCAAGUCGAGGGGCAACACGGGUAGCAAUACCUGGUGGCGACCGGCGCAAGGGUGCGUAACGCGUGAGCAACAUACCCUAUACAGGGGGAUAAUCCAGGGAAACUUGGUCUAAUAUCCCAUAGGAUUUACAGAUGUCAUCAUCUAUAAAUUAAAGCUUCGGUGGUAUAGGAUUGGCUCGCGUGACAUUAGCCAGAUGGUGAGGUAACGGCUCACCAUAGCAAUGAUGUCUAGGGGUUUUGAGAGGAAGGCCCCCCACACUGGGACUGAGACACGGCCCAGACUCCUACGGGAGGCAGCAGUGAGGAAUAUUGGACAAUGGAUGGAAAUCUGAUCCAGCCAUGCCGCGUGCAGGAAGACGGCCUUAUGGGUUGUAAACUGCUUUUAUACGGGAGCAAUAAGGGUUACGAGUAAUCCGAUGAGAGUACUGUAUGAAUAAGGAUCGGCUAACUCCGUGCGAGCAGCCGCGGUAAUACGGAGGAUCCGAGCGUUAUCCGGAAUUAUUGGGUUUAAAGGGUGCGCAGGCGGGAGAUUAAGUCGGCGGUGAAAUUUUGCAGCUCAACUGUAAAAGUGCCUUCGAAACUGGUUUCCUUGAGUGUAGAUGAAGUAGGCGGAAUUUGUGGUGUAGCGGUGAAAUGCAUAGAUAUCACGAGGAACUCCGAUUGCGCAGCAGCUUACUAAACUACUACUGACGCUCAGGCACGAARGCGUGGGGAUCAAACAGGAUUAGAUACCCUGGUAGUCCACGCAGUAAACGAUGAUUACUAGCUGUUUGCGAUACAAUGUGAGCGGCUGAGCGAAAGCGUUAAGUAAUCCACCUGGGGAGUACGUUCGCAAGAAUGAAACUCAAAGGAAUUGACGGGGGCCCGCACAAGCGGAGGAACAUGUGGUUUAAUUCGAUGAUACGCGAGGAACCUUACCCGGGCUUGAAAUGCAUCUGACCGGCCUUGAAAGAGGCUUUCCCUUCGGGGCAGAUGUGUAGGUGCUGCAUGGUUGUCGUCAGCUCGUGCCGUGAGGUGUCGGCUUAAGUGCCAUAACGAGCGCAACCCUCAUCAUUAGUUACCAUCAGGUCAAGCUGGGGACUCUAAUGAGACUGCCAUCGUAAGAUGUGAGGAAGGUGGGGAUGACGUCAAAUCAGCACGGCCCUUACGUCCGGGGCGACACACGUGUUACAAUGGGUGGUACAAAGGGCAGCUACAUGGCGACAUGAUGCUAAUCUCCAAAACCACUCUCAGUUCGGAUCGGAGUCUGCAACUCGACUCCGUGAAGCUGGAUUCGCUAGUAAUCGCGCAUCAGCCACGGCGCGGUGAAUACGUUCCCGGGCCUUGUACACACCGCCCGUCAAGCCAUGGAAGCUGGGGGUACCUGAAGUUCGUAACCGUUAAGGAGCGACCUAGGGUAAAACUAGUGACUGGGGCUAAGUCGUAACAAGGUAGCCGUAG
rnacentral:rRNA from 1 species